GCAGCUACGAGUUGGCAUAGCGGAGAAGUCAGCAGCGGUCAUAGUAGUACUAUUUGCUGGAAGGGUACGAAGGAC
rfam:Galbibacter marinus strain ck-I2-15 contig58, whole genome shotgun sequence.